CAGCAGGGUCACUUGGUACAAAGAAGCUCCGUAGGUCCACCAUCCCGCAGAGUGGAAGCUUCAAGUGGAGACAGAUAAAAAGAACAACUUUGAGAAAAAGGUUGAUUAAAGCAGCCUCCGGUUUUCAUUCCCUGAGGCACACACUCUUCUCCACCCGCCGUCCUUGGUGUGCUCAUCUCCUCAGUGGUGCAGAGACCCAGGUUUUCAGAGCCCACGCUGAGAGAGGGGAAUUGACUCAUCCCUGUAAUGACACUGCAGAAAAUUGAGAAAUCUCUGAAGUAAACCCUUGUCAACCCAUCUCUCCACACCACAAGCAGCUGAGGAUACAGAGAGGCUCCCAGCACAGUCUUCCCUCAGGCGGCCCACUGUCCCGGCAGGGAAGCAGGUUGGCAAAGAAACAAG
rnacentral:lncRNA from 1 species